rnacentral:rRNA from 1 species
CUACGGGAGGCUGCAGUGGGGAAUAUUGCGCAAUGGGCGAAAGCCUGACGCAGCAACGCCGCGUGAGGGAUGAAGGCCUUCGGGUUGUAAACCUCUGUCGAAUGGGAAGAAAUCUUGACGGUACCAUUAGAGGAAGCCCCGGCUAACUCCGUGCCAGCAGCCGCGGUAAUACGGAGGGGGCAAGCGUUGUUCGGAAUUAUUGGGCGUAAAGCGUAUGUAGGCGGUUUUACAAGUCAGACGUGCAAGCCCACGGCUCAACCGUGGAAUUGCGUUUGAAACUGUUUAACUUGAGUUCAGAAGAGGAAAGCGGAAUUCCCAGUGUAGCGGUGAAAUGCAUUGAUAUUGGGAAGAACAUCGGUGGCGAAGGCGGCUUUCUGGUCUGAUACUGACGCUGAGAUACGAAAGCCAGGGGAGCGAACGGGAUUAGAUACCCCGUAGUC